GGGCAGUUAGCUCAGUUGGUUAGAGCGCUUGGUUCACAUCCAAGAGGUCAUAGGUUCGAAUCCUGUACUGCCCA
rnacentral:tRNA from 1 species